UCGGGUGGAAAGUUAUAUAUUCUAUAGGUGGAAAUUGACCAUGCAUUCUGGCAGAUGUUGUACCAUGUACCAGCCGCUCAAGAGUAAUUUAGUUUAGGUUUGUACAUUUCAAUUUUUGAAGGUGGUGAGGAUCAUGAUAAAUUCUGUUUUUAUUUAUUUUGAUAUUGCUCUUGGUGAUCACGUGUAUUCAUGUUGGUUAAUUCUAGUGGGAUGCGCGGUACCAUGGUGUAUAUUAUUGAUGAAAGUUUUUAAUUUUUAUUAGUGAUGUAUUUAUGGGUACAUAAUUUGCAGUAUCUUAGUGUAUAGCGAAAUAAAUAUGGAAUUUGUUUGUGGCAAAUACAGUGCAUCAGGACAUAUUCAAAAUUAAGAAUAUAUAUACAAUGUUAACAGAAAUGUGCAAAGCGGUACUAAGUUGUGUGUACAAUAAGAAUUGUGUGUUGUACACCAAUAUGCUUUGAUUUACUAAUCUUCUCUCAUGUUCACAAGUUAUACUCAAAAAAUCAUUGGUAGACAAGGUAAGCAUAGAGGAUUGUAUCUUAGUCGUUGAUCCGUACUCGUUUCUAUGCAAUUUUGUUUCUUUUAUGUGUAUUUUGAUCUUACGUAUAUGUUC
rnacentral:lncRNA from 1 species